GGGUUCGAUUCCGGAGAGGGAGCCUGAGAAACGGCUACCANNNNNNAGGNAGGCAGCAGGCGCGCAAAUUACCCAAUCCCGACACGGGGAGGUAGUGACAAUAAAUAACAAUACGGGGCUCUUUCGGGUCUCGUAAUUGGAAUGAGUACAAUUUAAAUCCCUUAACGAGGAACAAUUGGAGGGCAAGUCUGGUGCCAGCAGCCGCGGUAAUUCCAGCUCCAAUAGCGUAUAUUAAAGUUGUUGCAGUUAAAAAGCUCGUAGUUGAAUUUCGGGAUUGACACAUCGGUCGUGCCUUAAGGGGUAUGAACUGGUGUAGUCAAUUUCUCACCUUCUGGAGAACGGCGAUGCCCUUAAUUGGGUGUCGCGGGGAACCAGGACCUUUACUUUGAAAAAAUUAGAGUGUUUAAAGCAGGCAUUUUGCUUGAAUACAUUAGCAUGGAAUAAUAAAAUAGGACGGCAUGAUUCUAUUUUGUUGGUUUCUAGGAUCACCGUAAUGAUUAAUAGGGAUAGUUGGGGGCAUUAGUAUUCAAUUGUCAGAGGUGAAAUUCUUGGAUUUAUUGAAGACUAACUACUGCGAAAGCAUUUGCCAAGGAUGUUUUCAUUAAUCAAGAACGAAAGUUAGGGGAUCGAAGACGAUCAGAUACCGUCGUAGUCUUAACCAUAAACUAUGCCGACUAGGAAUCAGACGAUGUUAAUUU
rnacentral:rRNA from 1 species